rnacentral:lncRNA from 1 species
AACAACUUUGUCAACAAACAACUGAUGUGACAGAAUAAGUUAAAAGCUUGAAUGAAAAGUUCGACAAAUUUCUAGAGAGGUGUGAUUCCAGGAGAUAUGAAGUUACCUUCAGGAAUUUGGAGACCCAAAGUGAUGAGGUUGUUGAUGAGGAGAAGGUGGAGAGAGAAGCGGAAAAGAUAGAAGAGGAGAAAAUAGAGGAAGAUGAAGCAGAAAGGUUGAGUAAGGGAGAGAAAGAUGAGGAGAAAGAAAAAGCAGUGGUUGAGAAAAAAAGAAAAAAAUAAGAGAAUAAGAAAAAAGAAAAAAAGAAAGUGGAAGAAGCAGAAGGUUGAGAAAAAAAGGAAGAGAGGAAAGAAGAAAAGAUCAUAUGAAAAACCCCUUCCUCAUAAAAAGAAAAAUCAUAGGAAGGAAAAGAAGUUCAAGUACUGUAUGGAGAUCUUN